GCCUGGGUGGCUCAGUCAGUUAAGCGUCUGACUUCAGCUCAGGUCAUGAUCUCUCCAUCUGUGAGUUCGAGCCCCACGCUGGGCU
rnacentral:tRNA from 1 species